UGGCUGACUGGUUACGGCGUUCGCUUUAUAAGCGAAUAGUUCUGGGUUCGUUUCCCAU
rnacentral:tRNA from 1 species